rnacentral:misc_RNA from 1 species
CAGUGUUCCCUGCCCUCCGGGGUAGGAUCGCCACCCGUGGUUACUUAUACGUGUUGCUUUGGCGGGCGCUCCCCCGCCGGAGGAUCUCCCAAACCUGAUUAUUAGUGUCGUCUGAGUACUAUAUAAUAGUUA